rnacentral:rRNA from 1 species
UACGGAGGGUGCGAGCGUUAAUCGGAAUUACUGGGCGUAAAGGGUGCGUAGGUGGUUUGAUAAGUUAUCUGUGAAAGCCCUGGGCUCAACCUGGGAAGGCCAGAUAAGACUGUUAAACUAGAGUAUGGGAGAGGGUAGUGGAAUUUCCGGUGUAGCGGUGAAAUGCGUAGAGAUCGGAAGGAACACCAGUGGCGAAGGCGGCUACCUGGCCUGAUACUGACACUGAAGCACGAAAGCGUGGGGAGCAAACAGG